CCGAGCCUUGGAUCUUUUUCCCUGUCGGCAAUCCGACUUCUGGCUGCGGCGUGUUCUGCACCGAUCCUCCCGGUCUGGAGACUGCCAGGACCGCACCCCGCAAAGGAGCCUAUUCUGAUUCCUCCGUCCUACACGGACUCUGUUAAGUGAUCCCGGGUUCCCGGCUGGUGGAGUCCUGAGUAUUUGUGCGCUGCUCCUGAAUAAAUCGUUUAACUUUUA